rnacentral:rRNA from 1 species
UACGGGGGGAGCAAGCGUUGUUCGGAUUUACUGGGCGUAAAGGGCGCGUAGGCGGCGCAACAAGUCACUUGUGAAAUCUCCGGGCUUAACCCGGAGCGGCCAAGUGAUACUGUCGUGCUAGGGUGCGGAAGGGGCUACUGGAAUUCUCGGUGGUAGCGGUGAAAUGCGUAGAUAUCCGAGAGGAACACCUGCGGCGAAGGCGGGUAGCUGGGCCGACACUGACGCUGAGGCGCGGAAAGCCAGGGGAGCAAACGGG